rnacentral:lncRNA from 1 species
AAAAAUAUCAACAUAGCAUAAUAAUUCAACCAUACAAAUUAAAUUAAUUUCAAACAAUUGUUAAGAGUUGAAGUGCAAUUUGUUCACGUAGAUUAACCAUAAAUUCUACGCCUUGAUCAUCCCAUUGUGGUUCAUCUUGUCCCUCUUCUUCGUUUCCUUCAUUUUGCUCCGCUUCAUCGUCAAACAUGUUAUCUCGAUCAAAUUGAGCAAACAAUUCAUCCUCAAUGUUAUGCUUCCUUAUGAAAUUAUGGACUGCGAAGCAAGCGAUAACUAUAUCCAUUGUACUAUAAAAGGGUAAGGAGCCAUUCGUUUCAAAAUUGGGAAUCUUGCUUUCAACACACCAUAAGCACGCUCGAUAACAUUUCUGAGUUGUGCAUGAGCAUGGUUGAAUUUUUCCUCUUUAUUCAAAGCGCGUCUGCGUUGAAAAUCAGCUAACCAAUACCUUGUAUUGCGAUAUGGAGAUAAAAAUCCUCGAGUGUUUAUGUAUGCAACAUCACAAAAAUAAUA